rnacentral:tRNA from 1 species
GGGGAUUUAGCUCAGUGGCAGAGCGCCUGCCUAGCAAGCACAAGGCCCUGGGUUCGGUCCCCAGCUCCA